GAUGAACGCUAGCGGGAGGCCUAACACAUGCAAGCCGAGCGGUAGAGUCUCUUCGGAGCCUUGAGAGCGGCGCACGGGUGCGGAACACGUGUGCAACCUGCCUUUAUCUGGGGGUUAGCCUUUCGAAGGGAAGAUUAAUACCCCAUAAUAUACUGGAUGGCAUCAUCUGGUAUUGAAAACUCCGGUGGAUAGAGAUGGGCACGCGCAAGAUUAGAUAGUUGGUGAGGUAACGGCUCACCAAGUCAGCGAUCUUUAGGGGGCCUGAGAGGGUGAUCCCCCACACUGGUACUGAGACACGGACCAGACUCCUACGGGAGGCAGCAGUGAGGAAUAUUGGACAAGGGGUGAGAGCCUGAUCCAGCCAUCCCGCGUGAAGGACGACGGCCCUAUGGGUUGUAAACUUCUUUUGUAUAGGGAUAAACCUAGAUACGUGUAUCUAGCUGAAGGUACUAUACGAAUAAGCACCGGCUAACUCCGUG
rnacentral:rRNA from 1 species